rnacentral:lncRNA from 1 species
CAGCGAGCGCCUUUCCUCCUGUCCCGGAGUCCUAGCCUGGCCCGAGCUACCUCCAGGGCGCCCGCUGCUGCGGUGGCAGGAAGUCCCCGGGAACUACAAAUCGAGGCAUGCUGGGAACAUUCUCCCGCUCCUCCCAGGAAAUGUCCUUUGUCCAGCCCUACAGGAAGCCCCAGUGAGGAGUCAGCCGGGCAGCCAGCCAGCGAGCCAGCCAGCCAGCCAGCCAGCCAGCCAGCCAACCAGCCAGCCAGCGGGCCACCCAGCGGCCGCUGCAGCCGCCGCCGCCGCACAAGGGCAGACGCGCUGCGGUGCGGGGCUCGGGCCGGGGCGCUCGGUGCCCUAGCUCCUCGCCGCGCCAGCCGCCUCGCAGCCCACUCAAAUGAGCGGCUUUGGGGCUGCCAUCAGACCGGGCAAAUGACACAAUAAGGACGGGUGGGUGGAGAGAUGG